rnacentral:lncRNA from 1 species
UGCGCAUUCAUGUGAGAUGAGACCUUGUAUUCCAAACGUUUUUCAAGACACAGGAAAGGUCCGGUUGAAAUAUUACUGAUGUUUCACGUUAAAAAUGGCCCUAAAGAUUGAUGCAAAACAACGUUUGACAUGUUUGAAGGAACGUAAAUAGAUUUAUUUUUUUACUUUUCGUCGUAACUUUUCCCUCCCGCGCCCUACAUUUUGAGUAGCCUACUGAACACGCUAACAACACGGAACAACAUGGAGUUAUUUGGACAUAAAUUAUGAACUUCAUCGGAAAAAAAAACAUUUGUUGUGGACCUGGGAUUCCUGGAAGUGCCUUCUGAUGAAGAUUAUUAAAGUUCCCCAGGAUCCAACUGGAUCCUACCAUGCAGGCCUUGCAGUCCCACACUGAGAGACUGGAUUCUGGAGAAAAAGUGUGUGAAAAAGACCUGAGCCCUAGGACCAUGCCUCAGGACUACCUCACCUGAUGACUCCUUGCUGUCCCCAGUCCACCUGGCCGUGCUGCUGCUCCAGUUUCAACUGUUCUGCCUGCGGCUAUGGAACCCUGACCUGUUCACCGGACGUGCUACCUGUCAAAGACCUGCUGUUUUCAACUCUCUAGAGACAGCAGGAGCAGUAGAGAUACUCUGAAUGAUCGGCUAUGAAAAGCCAACUGACAUUUACUCCUGAGGUGCUGACCUGUUGCACCCUCGACAACCACUGUGAUUAUUAUUAUUUGACCCUGUUGCUCAUCUAUGAACAUUUGAACAUCUUGGCCAUUUUCUGUUAUAAUCUCCACCCGGCACAGCCAGAAGAGGACUGGCCACCCCUCAUAGCCUGGUUCCUCUCUAGGUUACUUCCUAGGUUCUGGCCUUUCUAGGGAGUUUUUCCUAGCCACCGUGCUUCUACACCUGCAUUGCUUGCUGUUUGGGGUUUUAGGCUGUGUUUCUGUACAGCACUUUGAGAUAUCAGCAGAUGUAAGAAGGGC